AGCGUACACGGUGGAUGCCCUGGCAGUCAGAGGCGAUGAAGGACGUGCUAAUCUGCGAAAAGCGCCGGCGAGGUGAUAUGAACCCUUGACCCGGCGAUGUCCGAAUGGGGAAACCCAGUGCAAUUCGUUGCACUAUCGUUAACUGAAUACAUAGGUUAACGAGGCGAACCGGGGGAACUGAAACAUCUAAGUACCCCGAGGAAAAGAAAUCAACCGAGAUUCCCCCAGUAGCGGCGAGCGAACGGGGAGCAGCCCGGAGUCUGAAUCAGCUUGUGUGUUAGUGGAACGGUCUGGAAAGUCCGACGGUACAGGGUGAUAGUCCCGUACACGAAAGCACACAUGCUGUGAACUCGAAGAGUAGGGCGGGACACGUGGUAUCCUGUCUGAAUAUGGGGGGACCAUCCUCCAAGGCUAAAUACUCCUGACUGACCGAUAGUGAACCAGUACCGUGAGGGAAAGGCGAAAAGAACCCCGGCGAGGGGAGUGAAAAAGAACCUGAAACCGUGUACGUACAAGCAGUGGGAGCCUCUUUAUGGGGUGACUGCGUACCUUUUGUAUAAUGGGUCAGCGACUUAUAUUCUGUAGCAAGGUUAACCGUAUAGGGGAGCCGAAGGGAAACCGAGUCUUAACUGGGCGUUAAGUUGCAGGGUAUAGACCCGAAACCCGGUGAUCUAGCCAUGGGCAGGUUGAAGGUUGGGUAACACUAACUGGAGGACCGAACCGACUAAUGUUGAAAAAUUAGCGGAUGACCUGUGGCUGGGGGUGAAAGGCCAAUCAAACCGGGAGAUAGCUGGUUCUCCCCGAAAGCUAUUUAGGUAGCGCCUCGUGAACUCAUCUUCGGGGGUAGAGCACUGUUUCGGCUAGGGGGCCAUCCCGGCUUACCAACCCGAUGCAAACUACGAAUACCGAAGAAUGUUAUCACGGGAGACACACGGCGGGUGCUAACGUCCGUCGUGAAGAGGGAAACAACCCAGACCGCCAGCUAAGGUCCCAAAGUCAUGGUUAAGUGGGAAACGAUGUGGGAAGGCACAGACAGCCAGGAUGUUGGCUUAGAAGCAGCCAUCAUUUAAAGAAAGCGUAAUAGCUCACUGGUCGAGUCGGCCUGCGCGGAAGAUGUAACGGGGCUAAACCAUGCACCGAAGCUGCGGCAGCGACACUAUGUGUUGUUGGGUAGGGGAGCGUUCUGUAAGCCGUUGAAGGUGUGCUGUGAGGCAUGCUGGAGGUAUCAGAAGUGCGAAUGCUGACAUAAGUAACGAUAAAGCGGGUGAAAAGCCCGCUCGCCGGAAGACCAAGGGUUCCUGUCCAACGUUAAUCGGGGCAGGGUGAGUCGACCCCUAAGGCGAGGCCGAAAGGCGUAGUCGAUGGGAAACAGGUUAAUAUUCCUGUACUUGGUGUUACUGCGAAGGGGGGACGGAGAAGGCUAUGUCAGCCGGGCGACGGUUGUCCCGGUUUAAGCAUGUAGGCGGAGGUUCCAGGUAAAUCCGGUACCUUUUAACGCUGAGGUGUGAUGACGAGGCACUACGGUGCUGAAGUGAUAAAUGCCCUGCUUCCAGGAAAAGCCUCUAAGCAUCAGGUAACACGAAAUCGUACCCCAAACCGACACAGGUGGUCAGGUAGAGAAUACCAAGGCGCUUGAGAGAACUCGGGUGAAGGAACUAGGCAAAAUGGUGCCGUAACUUCGGGAGAAGGCACGCUGAUGUGUAGGUGAAGCCCCUGCGGGCGGAGCUGAAAUCAGUCGAAGAUACCAGCUGGCUGCAACUGUUUAUUAAAAACACAGCACUGUGCAAACACGAAAGUGGACGUAUACGGUGUGACGCCUGCCCGGUGCCGGAAGGUUAAUUGAUGGGGUUAGCGGCAACGCGAAGCUCUUGAUCGAAGCCCCGGUAAACGGCGGCCGUAACUAUAACGGUCCUAAGGUAGCGAAAUUCCUUGUCGGGUAAGUUCCGACCUGCACGAAUGGCGUAAUGAUGGCCAGGCUGUCUCCACCCGAGACUCAGUGAAAUUGAACUCGCUGUGAAGAUGCAGUGUACCCGCGGCAAGACGGAAAGACCCCGUGAACCUUUACUAUAGCUUGACACUGAACACUGGUCCUUGAUGUGUAGGAUAGGUGGGAGGCUUUGAAGCGUGGACGCCAGUCUGCGUGGAGCCGACCUUGAAAUACCACCCUUUAAUGGCUGGUGUUCUAACGUAGACCCGUAAUCCGGGUUGCGGACAGUGUCUGGUGGGUAGUUUGACUGGGGCGGUCUCCUCCCAAAGAGUAACGGAGGAGCACGAAGGUUGGCUAAUCCUGGUCGGACAUCAGGAGGUUAGUGCAAUGGCAUAAGCCAGCUUGACUGCGAGCGUGACGGCGCGAGCAGGUGCGAAAGCAGGUCAUAGUGAUCCGGUGGUUCUGAAUGGAAGGGCCAUCGCUCAACGGAUAAAAGGUACUCCGGGGAUAACAGGCUGAUACCGCCCAAGAGUUCAUAUCGACGGCGGUGUUUGGCACCUCGAUGUCGGCUCAUCACAUCCUGGGGCUGAAGUAGGUCCCAAGGGUAUGGCUGUUCGCCAUUUAAAGUGGUACGCGAGCUGGGUUUAGAACGUCGUGAGACAGUUCGGUCCCUAUCUGCCGUGGGCGCUGGAGAAUUGAGGGGGGCUGCUCCUAGUACGAGAGGACCGGAGUGGACGCAUCACUGGUGUUCGGGUUGUCAUGCCAAUGGCACUGCCCGGUAGCUAAAUGCGGAAGAGAUAAGUGCUGAAAGCAUCUAAGCACGAAACUUGCCCCGAGAUGAGUUCU
rnacentral:rRNA from 1 species